rnacentral:rRNA from 1 species
UACGUAGGGUGCAAGCGUUGUCCGGAAUUAUUGGGCGUAAAGAGCUCGUAGGCGGUCAGUCGCGUCUGCUGUGAAAACUCGGGGCUUAACUCCGGGCCUGCAGUGGGUACGGGCUGACUAGAGUGCGGUAGGGGAGACUGGAAUUCCUGGUGUAGCGGUGAAAUGCGCAGAUAUCAGGAGGAACACCGGUGGCGAAGGCGGGUCUCUGGGCCGUAACUGACGCUGAGGGGCGAAAGCGUGGGGAGCGAACAGG